GAUGAACGCUAGCGGCAGGCUUAACACAUGCAAGUCGAGGGGCAGCACGAUGUAGCAAUACAUGGGUGGCGACCGGCGCACGGGUGCGUAACACGUAUGGAACUUGCCCUUUACUGGGGGAUAGCCCGGAGAAAUCCGGAUUAAUACCCCAUAACAAGCGGAGUGGCAUCACUCUGCUUUGAAAGCUCCGGCGGUAAAGGAUGGCCAUGCGCCCGAUUAGCAGUUGGUGAGGUAACGGCUCACCAAGGCUAUGAUCGGUAGGGGGCCGUGAGAGGGUUA
rnacentral:rRNA from 1 species